AUGAACGCUAGCGACAGGCUUAACACAUGCAAGUCGAGGGGCAGCACAGGUAGCAAUACCGGGUGGCGACCGGCGCACGGGUGAGUAACGCGUAUGCAACUUGCCUAUCAGAGGGGGAUAACCCGGCGAAAGUCGGACUAAUACCGCAUGAAGCAGGGAUCCCGCAUGGGAAUAUUUGCUAAAGAUUCAUCGCUGAUAGAUAGGCAUGCGUUCCAUUAGGCAGUUGGCGGGGUAACGGCCCACCAAACCGACGAUGGAUAGGGGUUCUGAGAGGAAGGUCCCCCACAUUGGUACUGAGACACGGACCAAACUCCUACGGGAGGCAGCAGUGAGGAAUAUUGGUCAAUGGCCGAGAGGCUGAACCAGCCAAGUCGCGUGAGGGAUGAAGGUUCUAUGGAUCGUAAACCUCUUUUAUAAGGGAAUAAAGUGCGGGACGUGUCCCGUUUUGUAUGUACCUUAUGAAUAAGGAUCGGCUAACUCCGUGCCAGCAGCCGCGGUAAUACGGAGGAUCCGAGCGUUAUCCGGAUUUAUUGGGUUUAAAGGGUGCGUAGGCGGCCUUUUAAGUCAGCGGUGAAAGUCUGUGGCUCAACCAUAGAAUUGCCGUUGAAACUGGGGGGCUUGAGUAUGUUUGAGGCAGGCGGAAUGCGUGGUGUAGCGGUGAAAUGCAUAGAUAUCACGCAGAACCCCGAUUGCGAAGGCAGCCUGCCAAGCCAUUACUGACGCUGAUGCACGAAGCGUGGGGAUCAAACAGGAUUAGAUACCGUGGUAGUCCACGCAGUAAACGAUGAUCACUAGCUGUUUGCGAUACACUGUAAGCGGCACAGCGAAAGCGUUAAGUGAUCCACCUGGGGAGUACGCCGGCAACGGUGAAACUCAAAGGAAUUGACGGGGGCCCGCACAAGCGGUGGAGCAUGUGGUUUAAUUCGAAGCAACGCGAAGAACCUUACCAAGUCUUGACAUCCCGAUGACAGAGUAUGUAAUGUACUUUCUCUUCGGAGCAUCGGUGACAGGUGGUGCAUGGUUGUCGUCAGCUCGUGUCGUGAGAUGUUGGGUUAAGUCCCGCAACGAGCGCAACCCCUGUUGCCAGUUGCCAGCAUUAAGUUGGGGACUCUGGCGAGACUGCCGGUGACAAGCCGGAGGAAGGCGGGGAUGACGUCAAAUCAGCACGGCCCUUACAUCCGGGGCGACACACGUGUUACAAUGGCGUGGACAAAGGGAGGCCACCUGGCGACAGGGAGCGAAUCCCCAAACCACGUCUCAGUUCGGAUCGGAGUCUGCAACCCGACUCCGUGAAGCUGGAUUCGCUAGUAAUCGCGCAUCAGCCAUGGCGCGGUGAAUACGUUCCCGGGCCUUGUACACACCGCCCGUCACACCAUGAGAGUCGGUAACACCCGAAGCCGGUGGCCUAACCGCAAGGAAGGAGCUGUCUAAGGUGGGACUGAUGAUUGGGGUG
rnacentral:rRNA from 1 species